GAUGAACGCUAGCUACAGGCUUAACACAUGCAAGUCGCAGGGUAACAUGAGGAAAGCUUGCUUUCCUUGAUGACGACUGGCGCACGGGUGAGUAACGCGUAUCCAACCUUCCCAUAACUACGGGAUAACCCGUUGAAAGACGGCCUAAUACCGUAUGACAUCGUUUGCUGACAUCAAAUAACGAUUAAAGGUUUAGCGGUUAUGGAUGGGGAUGCGUCUGAUUAGCUUGUUGGCGGGGUAACGGCCCACCAAGGCAACGAUCAGUAGGGGUUCUGAGAGGAAGGUCCCCCACAUUGGAACUGAGACACGGUCCAAACUCCUACGGGAGGCAGCAGUGAGGAAUAUUGGUCAAUGGGCGAGAGCCUGAACCAGCCAAGUAGCGUGCAGGAUGACGGCCCUAUGGGUUGUAAACUGCUUUUAUGUGGGGAUAAAGUGCGUGACGUGUCAUGCAUUGCAGGUACCACAUGAAUAAGGACCGGCUAAUUCCGUGCCAGCAGCCGCGGUAAUACGGAAGGUCCGGGCGUUAUCCGGAUUUAUUGGGUUUAAAGGGAGCGUAGGCUGUCUAUUAAGCGUGUUGUGAAAUUUACCGGCUCAACCGGUGGCUUGCAGCGCGAACUGGUCGACUUGAGUAUGCAGGAAGUAGGCGGAAUUCAUGGUGUAGCGGUGAAAUGCUUAGAUAUCAUGACGAACUCCGAUUGCGCAGGCAGCUUACUGUAGCAUAACUGACGCUGAUGCUCGAAAGUGCGGGUAUCAAACAGG
rnacentral:rRNA from 1 species